rnacentral:lncRNA from 1 species
GCCUGGCUCUUUCUUUCAUAGAUGUUGGCAUAUAAAAUAAAUUUGACUCACAAAACUGAAUAUUAUAAUAUUCGUAUGUAGGCUUAAAGUGAAUAACUCAUCUGAUUACUGAAACAAAUAAUCUGUUCAGCCGCCCCAGCAGCAGCUGCAGCAGGACGGGGAGAGGAUACGGAGACAUGUCCAGGUCGAGCUGCGUGAGAAAUAAGAGGAAGAGGAAGAAAGAAAAGGAGGGAGAUGGAUUAAAUAUCUUGUUAACUUUCAUGUGUGUCUAUGUACUAGAUAUUUAAUUUAAUGCGGUCUCAGCUGUGUUGAUUUGGUCAGGUUGUGUGUCCAAAUGCAUACCAAACGCGCUCAUCAGAUAAGAUAUAGAUCAGAAUAUAUCCAUAGAUCUAAAUGUAUGUGCUGACUCAGAUUAUUAGUUGUUGAUGACUAUUUAUUGCACUGAAAUGUGCCUGAAACUGUGGAAACCUGCCGGUGAGGCAUUGGUGACGUAUGUGCACUAUGCCCCUGGUCUACCAAAAUACCACUAGACCAGCUGCGCUCUGCCUGCGCUGAAAGCUGACCAGGUUUGAAUCGGCGAGCUUUCAGCGCACUUUAUACCCCACCGGCGAGCACAAAAAUAUCACUGCGGCAGCUGAUUCUGUCGACACCUCCCUCUGCCACGCCACCACGCCCAGCUUGGCGGACCUCGUGCGCCUCAGUCCACGAAAAUAUCAAACUGGCUGUAUGAAAAAAAGCACUGUGCAGGGUCCACCACCCUCCACCACCUCACCAGCGCACACGAAAAUAGAGCCCAAUGUGUCAAUUUCCGACAGCGUCUUCCCAUUCCGCUGCGGAUCGCUGGACUCCACAGCUGAUCGCAAGAGUUCUAUCUUUUCUAGACGCCCGAGCAUGCCACAUAGAUUCAGCAAAGAUUUCUCCGUGCUGGAAAGGAAGUCGAGCACAGACACAAAAUAAAACAUCUAGCUUCUUUUCAAAAUAAAUCACUCUGUGUUUCAGGCGGAUUAUAUUUCACACCAUGCAAACGGGCGGGGACGAACAAGUGAAAGGUUUAUAGACAGCAUUUAAUCCCGAGAGGAUGCUGAUUUUAUAAGUCUAGAAGUAGAUUUCCUCCUCUGGAAGGACACAGUCUACUGCUUAUAUGGUUAGCCUGUGUGGCUAAAGACAACUCGUUAUCGCGCGAUUGCACGUGAAUCCGCAGGUUCUUGUGAGUUCUUGAGAUUCCUGCUGUCCGUAAUCUGCCACCAAGUUUGCCCUACAAACGGAUCCAGUAUGCAUACAGCAAAAAAUCGCUGCCGUUACGGAUCAGAGCCGUUACGGAUGCAGUGGAAAUCCUGGGUAAAGGUCAUGGAAAGGUGAGGUGUCACAUGUCACAACUUCAAAUCAGACCUCGUGUUUCUCUAUUUAAAAAUAAAACAAAAGCUAACCCAGUACUGAGGAAAUGUAUCCAUGGUCCUCUCAGACACUCUCUUCCACAUAAGGUCUCAGAAAUGUCGAUAUGGUAGUUUUUAGAAAAUGAAAUGCUGAUGUUAUGCUGAAAAUAAACAUAUAGCAACGCCCGGUUAACAGUUCACAGUGGCAAUCCUGUAUGCUGAUUGCCACAGGCCAUAAACCAGAGGGUAGACUAGAAACUGCUCCUUCCAGGAAACCAGCCAUAGUAAGCUAGCCCUCUGAGAGAUGACUCAGCACUUCUAUAAACCGACAUGCAAGGAUUUAUUAUGAAUUAAAAAACAACGUUCCAUCUUCAGGUUACUAAUCAUUCAACAUUUACACUUUCUACUCCAUAUUUUAGUUGGUUACGUUUAGUUCUGUAAAGUUCAAGCUACCAGGAGCAGUAUACUUCAAAAUAAAAGCAUAGCUUUACACUGCAAGCAAGGAAACACCCGUAAUGCAAGACAAAAAAUAUUGAAAUAAAGAAAGAUGAGGUUACCACUUUGUCGUCAGGGACACCAAAUUAGCACAGAAAGUACUUCACAGGAGCUUUAAGUACAGUGCUGCUCCUCUUCUGUCUUGCCGUUCCUCAAUUUAUCUGUUUUUGUUGUUGUCAAGUUUUCCAUCAAUAUUGCAAUAAUAUUGUUAUCAUAACUGUAAUUGCCACAAUAAUCACAGAGUGAAAACCUGAUACGGUGAUAGCCCUCAAUAAUGUCAAUACAGCUAUCAUGCCGUGUAUUUAUGUAUGUAUAUGCUGGUCUCAGCCCCCCUCUACUGUCCUAUAAAAACAGACUAGGAGGUGUGGAAACGGAUUCUAAUCUAAUCAAAUUUAUCAAUAAGUUUGGUUUGAUUUCUCCUCCUUAAAUUCAAAUUAACUCAAUUUGUCUAUCCAGAUGGUCUUGCAAGCUAUCACUGGAUUGGCUCAGAUAUUAAUGUGCAUUUAUUCUGUGGGUCAGAAGAGUAAAUAAGAACACACAACUUAAACAUACUAUUUGGGAUGUCAACAUGCUUUUGCAAACUAAAAAUGUUAAAAAUUAAAUAAUACUGAACAUGCAACUAAGGCAUGCAACCAUUUUAGGAGCAUUCAAGUGAAUCCUUUGCUCAAUCCAAAACCAGUAAAACAGGUUUUGGCUAACAGUUCGAUUUUUAUGUUGUCAAUUUCUUGUGAACAGAUACUUUAACCCUUUAUGAUAAGAAUGAAAUUUUGAUAGUAAAUUAUUAUCUAAGAAAUGCAUGAGAUGUACCUUGAACAUCUUUUCUGGCUGUCUUCUGUGUAUAAGUUAAAAGAUAUGUUAGCCAAUGAAUACCACAAAACCUAGACAUAUAAGUCAAUUUUUUUACCUUGCCUUUACUUUGCCUCACUAGUUAGAUAUAUUCUAUGUUACAAAGUCCUACUCUUUUGUACAUAUACUGUAUGUGCAGGAUUUUUCCACAUUAUAUCAACUCAAAUUGAACAAAUUUUGUGUGCAAUUCUUGCAAUCCGGCCCUGACAUUUAGGCCUUGAGAGACAUGAGAGGAAAACCCAAAAAAUUUACAAAAGUGAGAAAUGAAAAAUAUCCUUGAAAGUGAAAAAGAUUUUGGAUCGUGAGCCAAAUGUUCUUUAAUUUUGCUCUCCAUUCUCUGAGUCAGUGUACUUAACAUUGUUCUACUCAUCAAUUCCCACUCUGCUCUGUUUGGUGAAUGAUAGAUUUAUUGUGUUUACUGAGAACAACAGCUGAGGACAGAAACAUCAGCACAUCUCCUGCGUCACAGCUGAGAAACAGGAAGAUUUUUCUUCAGACCUCAGUGGACAAAGAAUCCAGAGUAAAUCUCAGAUCAAACAACACGCUGAAAAGUUGGAUCUCAAAAUAAAUAGCUACUGUCAAAGGGCCUGCAGGCAGGAGAGGGAAGAGAAGAUUGUCUCAAAUGAAAGACACCUCCUUGAAAUCCUAUUGAGCUAUUUUCAGUGAGACCCAGAAAAAAAGUGAGAGAAAAGAGUGCACUGGUAAAGGUCAGCGUGAGCCCAGAUCACAGAACCUGAAACAUGGCUCAAAGAUAAAGGGCGCAGUGAGAAAUAUAUCAAUUACGCCAUGACAUUUUCCACAGAGACAAAAGAGGAUGUAUAAAACCACACAAUAGUGUGGGUCUGUGGCCACUGCAUCCGCUGUUAAAGUCACAAAUAUUUGGUCAAGUUACAACCCCAUUGUGUAUUUAGUGUCUAAAUACUAUACAAGACCUUAAAAUACUAAAUACAUCCAGCUUCAUCCUUUCAGUUGUAAAGAUUUUCCCUAAAGAAGUCAUAUGUUACAGUACCAGGGGAUGAUUUGGCCACAGACCUUAAAUGUUGUCUCUAACUUAGUUGUGAAUUCAGAUUAUUUGGCCUAUUUCGUUUCAAAGAGCAAGUUUGAGCUGCAGCAUUACGCACACAGAAUCUCAAACAUUUUCAUCAUUCAUUACAUUCAAACACUCGCCCUGCAAGGUGCUCAACCCCGACCCAGAGUGAGUGCGAGUUCUGACUAAAUACUGAAAGCUGCUAACAUUAGCAGCUGGACCGAGACAAGUGCUGCAGAAGAGAAAGUACUAGUCUGUGUUUCUGUGACUGUAAUCUACCUCUCUGCACACAGCCAGUAUGACUCAUUUACAGAAGCUAGAGGCGUUGAUGCUCUUUUUCUUCAUAAGUGGUACAAAGUAACCUGUUAUGUUUAAUCACAUGUAAUCAAAUAAGUUUAUUUCUGCAUAAAGCCAUUAAUGAACCAAUUACAGUAACAUGAAGCCUGUGUAGGAAAAUAUAAGCUCAUUAAAAAAUAUAUGACCAUAUUGCUUACAUAUUUUUAGCCCUCUUUCACUAAUAUGGGGCUGAGUUUGAUUUGCACCUGCCGUCUACUUUCUAUCCCAAAUCUCAAAUGUAAAGCUCGAAGGUCAUAAAUGAGUUCAACAUGCAAACCCUAACUUACUGUAAU